UUUUAACCCAGAUGGAAACGGCAUCCUUUUUAAGAGAUAAUUUUUCUUUAUCUCUUAAAAAGAUAUAGUAUACAGCUGGAAUAGCU
rnacentral:snRNA from 1 species